UACGUAGGGGGCAAGCGUUGUCCGGAAUCAUUGGGCGUAAAGCGCGUGUAGGCGGCCUGUUAAGUCCGUUGUGAAAGUCUAGGGCUCAACCCUGGGAUGCCGGUGGAUACUGUCGGGCUCGAGUCCGGAAGAGGCGAGUGGAAUUCCUGGUGUAGCGGUGAAAUGCGCAGAUAUCAGGAGGAACACCAAUGGCGAAGGCAGCUCGCUGGGACGUGACUGACGCUGAGACGCGAAAGCGUGGGGAGCAAACAGG
rnacentral:rRNA from 1 species